rnacentral:lncRNA from 1 species
UGGUCUCUAUUGUUUUUUAUUUACAAUAAUUCUGGUCCCAAAUAAAUAUAUUACUUUUUGUCAUUUUUAUAAAACAUACACACGCAAUUAUAAUAUAUAAACAAUGAAUGUAGGCAGAAUAUAAAUAAUAUCAUAUUUUCAUACAUACAAAAAGUAGAUCACCAUUCCAUAUGUAGAACCGUACUAUCAAAUAUAAGUUACCAACAUUCAUUACAAAAAAUAAGAAAUUUGUCAAAUAGUCCCGACUAAAUUUGAUAAGCAACUUAAAGUCUUCAAAUCAUGCAUCUUGACUUGUAAACUCAUCAAGUCUUCAAGACCUAUAAAAAAGCAUACAAUAGAUUUUCUCAAAAAAUUAUAAAGAAAUACUAGAAGAAUUAAAAUUUAACAUGGUUUAGACCACAUAAUAUAUCCAAAUUUCAACCUGUAUGUUCAUCUCCCGCUCAAGUAUUUAAAGCAAAGUAAAUAUAUUGAUGUGCCAACUAUAUAAGCAAAUGUAGUUUCAAAUUAACUACCUAGAUUUCAAUAAUAUAAUUAGAGUACAAAUCAUUUUAAGGGCUCUAAACUAGUAUAGUCAUUGAAUAUGAUUCUUAAGAAUUCCUAUACAGAGUAUGAAAAUUUAAACGUUCAUUCAGAUCAGUUUUCUUUCAUGAAGUAGUUCAAGAAUAUCGACUUUGCUUUAAUUUAAGAAAUACACACCUCGAUAGUUUAACAUUUAAAAAGAUAAAAUCAAAUACGCAAAAUUAAAGCAACUAGUUGAUACUUCAAGAAAUCAUUAUCACAAGUAUUAUCACAAGCAAGGGAAACAAUACUUCUGAAAAAUAGCGAAAUUUUAUUAUUACAACAAACUAGCAUACAUUGUUUGUUGGCUCCUUAUAUCCAUCACUUCUUCCUCCUCAUUUUGUGCUUCCACUUUUUCCUGCCAACUAUCUUCGAGUUUUAUUCUCCUGAAUCAUCUAUUAACCACAACCCACCCUCCAUAAGCAAAUAACUAGAAGAUGAAAAUGUUUGGAAAAUAACAGAACACAAACUGAUGGAAAAUUUGAUUCUUUUAAUUACUUAUGGUUAUCCCAUUUCAUAUAUCACUUACACUAUUAGGCCAAAAGUUCUUUCACUUUCAUUCUCUUAGGAUAGAUUGUAAUUAAAUUCAUGCCCCCACAAUAUGAAAAUGACCUAAAGAACAAAUAAAUAAUAUUUACUUAAUAAUUUCUCUAACAAUUAGUAAUCUAGAAUGUCAUGUUUUGGUCACCUCGCAUAUCUUUUUUUCUUUUUUCUAAUAGAUAAUCAAAAUAUUGAACCAUAACUCAAGUACGCUUCAACAAGAGGUUGAGUGUGUUUGGCAGCAAGGGAAUUCAAGAUUGUUGAGAAACUUAAUCUAAUGAGUCAACAACAAUAUGUGAAUCUCAUGUUUUCUAUUAUUAUGAUAAAAAGGACCAGCAACAACUGGCCCUGAACAACUUCAUUAGCUUCUUAACAUGUAGUAGAAUACAGAACGUCACCAAAAGAUCUCCAAUUCUUCCAUCAGUUAAGGAAUAGAUAGCACUAGAAUUAUCUUUAUAUCAAUGACUAAAACUAUGGUUCUUUUAGUAUUGAGCAGGUGAGGAUCUACUAAGGCUUUAUGUGUCAAACAUUACACUAGAAAAUGAAUGUCUAGCUCAAAUUAUUAACACUGCAGAAAAUCUCUGGCAAGACGGUGUAACUAAACAUAAGAAAGAUACAACUUAUAAUUGGGAUCAAAGUGCCAAGCACAAGUAGAUUUGUUACUAUACAAUAGAGAAAGUAGUACUUAUGAAAUUAUGCAAGGAUUGACUAAACAAAAAAAAGUUCAAACCACUAGAACAGGCCACACAAGAUGCAAGAUACAAUUACUCAAUGAGUUUAGUAUAGAUGUCGCAACUCAAGUCAACAAAAAACAAUUCUUCCACAUAAAAAAUAGCUCAUAAAAUAAAUAACCAGUUAAUGUUGAUCAUUAAAUACUAUGAAACAUGACAUUGACAUUUAGCAUGAUUUAGAAAACACAAUAGAUCUAUAUUCGCCUUAUAUGUUAAUAUUGACGUAUUUAUAACUCUGUUUUUAGCAGUACAAAGGUGUCAUUCAUUUGAAAUGCAUCUUUGGAAUAACUUGAUCUAAUCUCAAAAUUCAAACUAAAAUAUAUAAUGAUUUUCUACAUUGUUCAGUCAAAUGCAAAAAAAUAAAACAAGAGUAAAUCUCAGAAAAUGAUCAAGUCAUUGAAUUCAAUGCCUAAGGAUAGAAGUCCAUGUUCGGCAUAUACAAAUUAUAACCAUGGCUCCCAACUAUAAAUACAAAAUAUAAAAAUAGAAAAUGGCACUAGCAACUUAGUGAUUGUUUCUUUCAUAUCGAUAUGUGAUCUUUUUCUAUACCAAUCUUUUGCACUUUCAGAACUCUUCCAUGCCCCCCCCUUACAACAAUAAAUUCUCCCACAAAGUUUAAAUAACAUAGUAGGAUAACUCAAAGUCAUCCUUUUCUGCUUCUACAUAACACUCUAGUUAUAUAUAUAUUGGUGUAUCACAAGACAAUCUCACAUAUAUUUUGCUAGAACUUUAAGAAUCGAAGUAGAUAAUUGCAGCAAUCUUUAUAUAUUUUAGCUUACUUUGACCUGAGCUUCAUUUCUUCCUUUUGGUUGUGGCAUUAAGGGGAGUAGAGCUUAAGAACUCUAUGUCAAAGUAACCUCUUAAGUAAUGGUAAAAUCAUCACAAUUAGUGUAUCCCUUCAAGUUAAUCAACUCACAUUCUAUUGUUCUCUUCACCAAAUUUUAAACAAAUCCCAAUGUAAUAAAAGGAAUCAAUAAUUCAAAUUCCUGGCAUAUGUUCCAUAUAUUUAGUAUUUUUCAUACAAAAAAAAUAAAAUAAGUUCUAUAAAAGUUUAAAACAAACAUGAAAAAAAUAAAAGAUUAAGAAUUCAACAAUGAGUAAUAACCUGGGCUUUAAAGUGGUGUGAGCUAUAUAUAAUGUAACUAGAAAUAUACUUCUGAGAUAGACUAAACAUUUGAAUUUCACCUUCAUCAUUGUCAUAAUUAGCAUGUAUCAACAAAGGUCUAUUUGUAGUUGUCAUACAUCGAAUUCUCCUCCCCAAAAUUAAUCAGUAAAAUUAAUUAUUGUACUCUGAUAUCAAAAUUAUCAUUACUGAAUGUAAGCAUCAACAAGUGAAAAAUCAAGCACAAAAUAAAUCGAAUAAGAUUAAAAAAACACUAAAAGAAAUACAAAAACUGUAACCCUAGAAAAAUAUAUUCUUAUACAGUAGUAUAUGAGUGUUGAUCCCUAAAAUUGAAAUUUAAUAAUCGAACAUUCAAUUACCUAAUAACUAAUGAGAAUCCAUGGUAUAAUUUCUAAUUAAUCGAAGAGAUAGAAAAAGAGAGAAAAUAAACCUUAGCAUGCUACGAACUCCCACCAUAGAGAUUUAGGUUACUAGGUUUCUCAACUAUCAAUGGAGUUUUCAGGUGGCAAAUCAUGAUUUUCGACUGGCUAAGUGUGAAGCUUCAGAUCUGAGAGAUGAGUUGUGUGGGACUAUUUUGGACAUUGUGAUUAAGAAGGGUGAUAUAGGUGGCGUUUGGGGAAAUGGAUAACCUCGGAAGGAGGCUAUCCGAUGGCUACAACAGCCAUGGAAUGGCUGAGAAAGAGGAGUAGCAACGAAGAGACAAACUUCAGCCAGAGAGGGAGCUCUCAAGCGUAGGGUAAAAAGGGAUUUGCUAGAGAGAAGAUGAAAAGAAAUUUUGUUAGAACUUUGCUUUUAUUAAUUAAGGCGUUUUUAAUUUUUAAUAUAUUUUCUUUAAAAAAAAAUUU